CAAUAGCGUAUAUUUAAGUUGUUGCAGUUAAAAAGCUCGUAGUCGGAUUUUGGCUGAGAACGAUCGGUCCGCCGUUAGGUGUGCACUGAUUGGUCUCAGCUUCCUGGUGAGGAGGUGUGCUUCACGGCCACUUAGUCACCGUGGUUACUUUGAAAAAAUUAGAGUGUUCGAAGCGGGCUUACGCUUGAAUAUAUUAGCAUGGAAUAACACCAUAGGACUCCUGUCCUAUUUCGUUGGUCACGGGACGGGAGUAAUGAUUAAGAGGAACAGUUGGGGGCAUUCGUAUUUCAUUGUCAGAGGUGAAAUUCUUGGAUUUAUGAAAGACGAACUUCUGCGAAAGCAUUUGCCAAGGAUGUUUUCAUUGA
rnacentral:rRNA from 1 species